rnacentral:tRNA from 1 species
GUCCUCGUAGUAUAACUUAAUACCCUGGUCUUGUAAACCAGACAUGGAGAACCCUCUCCCAAGGAUA